rnacentral:rRNA from 1 species
CCUACGGGAGGCAGCAGUGAGGAAUAUUGGUCAAUGGGCGCGAGCCUGAACCAGCCAAGUCGCGUGAGGGAAGACGGUCCUAUGGAUUGUAAACCUCUUUUGUCGGGGAGCAAAAGACGCCACGCGUGGCUUUCCGACAGUACCCGAAGAAAAAGCAUGGGAUAACUCCGUGCCAGCAGCCGGGGUAAUACGGGGGAUUCGGGCGGUAUCCGGAUUGAUUGGGGUUAAAGGGUGCGCAGGCGGACGAUAAAGUCAGCGGUAAAAUUGGGAGGCUCAACCUCGUCGUGCCGUUGAAACUGGUUUUCUGGAGUGAGUGAGAAGUAUGCGGAAUGCGUGGUGUAGCGGUGAAAUGCAUAGAUAUCACGCAGAAUUCCGAUUGCGAAGGCAGCCUACCGGCGCUCAACUGACGCUCAUGCACGAAAGUGUGGGUAUCGAACAGGAUUAGAUACCCCAGUAGUC